rnacentral:rRNA from 1 species
GAUGAACGCUGGCGGCGUGCUUAACACAUGCAAGUCGAACGAAGCACUUUAUUUGAUUUCCUUCGGGACUGAUUAUUUUGUGACUGAGUGGCGGACGGGUGAGUAACGCGUGGGUAACCUGCCUUGUACAGGGGGAUAAUAGUGGGAAACGGCUGCUAAUACCGCAUAAGCGCCCGGCAUCGCAUGAUGCAGUGUGAAGAACUCCGGUGGUAUAGGAUGUACCGGCGUUGGAUUAGCUAGUUGGUGAGGUCACGGCCCACCAAGGCGACGAUCCAUAGCCGACAUGUGAGAGUGACCGGCCACACUGGGACUGAGACACGGUCCAAACUCCUACGGGAGGCAGGAGUGGGGAAUAUUGCAAAAUGGGCGAAAGCCUGAUGGAGCGACGCCGCGUGAGCGAAGAAGUAUUGCGGUAUGUAAAGCUCUAUCAGCAGGGAAGAUAAUGACGGUACCUGAAGAAGAAGCACCGGCUAAAUACGUG